rnacentral:rRNA from 1 species
AUGGAGUGUCUCCGCCUGACGUCCGUUUCGGGCGCCGCAUGCGGCAGGCUGCAGGCGGCGGCGGCGGCCGUCGCUCUCAGGACAGCGGCCAACUCUGACGAGCUCCUCGCCCGCCUACUCCAUCAUGGCAGAAACCUGGUGUUGGACAACACUGACAUUCAGCAACCAGAUGAUGCUGCUGCUGAAGCUCACUUCUUCCUUCCCAAUGCCAAUUUGAAAGAACCUGCUGAGAAAAUGGUCAAUGUCCACAGACCUCUUUCUGAUCUUCACCAUGAAAUGGACGAUUUCUAUCCAGUUUGUUCUGUGAUGCCCAGCCAGAGUAUUACUGACAAGAAUCACAAUGUCAUAGUUACUCUGGAUCACUCUCAGCAAUCAAAUGCUAAUCCCUCCGGUAAAAAAUGUGUGAUAAUUACGAGCAGACGUUUCACUUCCCCUGUUUCUGCUGCUGACACAACUGCAGAAGCUCCACUUUCCAAUGAUUCUCCAGAUGUGCAGAUUUCUGAUGAAAGGAAGUUCGACGUGAGUUGCCGUCAAUUGUGUAAAAAUGUCGAUGAUGAUUCUAAUAGCAUUAUCAGUUCUGCAAAGUCUCAUGACAAUCGCUCUUCCGAUUAUACCCCCGCAUCCAAAGUUCAGUAUGUAAUCAAGGUUAGCACUAGUUCUUCUAGAAGAAAGAAAACACCUCAUGAUCCGAGGAGAGUUCUUCUCUCAUCCAGUCCUUCUGUCCCUGAAACAAAUCGAUUUCCAGUCUCUGCUCUUGAGAGGAGAUAUUAUGCGGUGUUUUGCAGACUUGCACGGAGUGAAAGAUAUCAGUGCAUGACUGCCAUUAUAUAUCGCAAGGUCCGCUGCUCCUACCUCUCUCUUGGUCAGUCAUUGAUGCCAGGGGGUCAUGUCAAUAACUUUCUGAUUUCUGUUUUCUGCCGGAAAUUGUUUGAUGAUUGCCAUCCAUCAGUUUCUAAAAAACAUUACUUCUUCUCUUAUAUUGGGGAAAACAUUCUAAAAUACAAUAAUAAAGAUCAGUUUAAACUCAUAGAAAAUACUUUUAAAGGUGCAAGUCUAGUAAAGAAAAUUGAUGCAUGUGAACUGCUAUUCUUUCCUAUAUGCCAUUGUAAGCACUGGUUUUUAUUUGUUGUCGACCUGCAAAACCGUCAAUUUGUAUUUAUGGAUUCCUUGUUCCAUAAGAAGUCUCGUUAUCAAGUUGUGGUCAGCGAGAUGCUUGUUGGUAAUUUCCAACAUUUGUGGAAGGAGAUAGUUGAUCCAGAGUAUAUCUUCGAUAAUUUCAGAAUUGUCUAUCCUGAUAUGCCAAGACAAGGAAACGGGAAUGAUUGCGGUGUCUUUGUGAUGAAAUGUAUGGAAAUCUGGACUCCUAGAGUUGUUCUUCAUGAUUAUUUCUCAAGAGUCAACAUUCCAAAUAUACGGAUACAAUAUGCGAAUCAGCUGUUCUUCAGUUCUAAGAAUGCCGCUGAUAAGUCUCUGGUAACACAUUUCCUUCGAGAGGGCAAAUUUCAUCGUGUCAGAAAGAGUGUAACUUCAGAGUCCAACGCGUAUCGGUAA